rnacentral:rRNA from 1 species
AGAUUGAACGCUGGCGGCAUGCCUUACACAUGCAAGUCGAACGGCAGCACGGGAGCAAUCCUGGUGGCGAGUGGCGAACGGGUGAGUAAUAUAUCGGAACGUGCCCAGUAAUGGGGGGAUAGCCCGGCGAAAGCCGGAUUAAUACCGCAUACGACCUACGGGUGAAAGCGGGGGAUCGCAAGACCUCGCGUUAUUGGAGCGGCCGAUAUCAGAUUAGCUUGUUGGCGGGUAAAAGCCCACCAAGGCGACGAUCUGUAGCUGGUCUGAGAGGACGACCAGCCACACUGGGACUGAGACACGGCCCAGACUCCUACGGGAGGCAGCAGUGGGGAAUUUUGGACAAUGGGCGCAAGCCUGAUCCAGCCAUGCCGCGUGUGGGAAGAAGGCCUUCGGGUUGUAAACCACUUUUGUCAGGGAAGAAACGGCUACUUACUAAUAUUAGGAGCUAAUGACGUACUGAAGAAUAAGCACCGGCUAACUACGUGCCAGCAGCCG